rnacentral:rRNA from 1 species
CGCGUAGGUGGUCUGUUAAGUCAGCUGUGAAAGCCCUGGGCUUAACCUGGGAACUGCAGUUGAUACUGGCAGGCUAGAGUACGAGAGAGGGAGGUAGAAUUCCAUGUGUAGCGGUGAAAUGCGUAGAUAUAUGGAGGAAUACCAGUGGCGAAGGCGGCCUCCUGGCUCGAAACUGACACUGAGGUGCGAAAGCGUGGGUAGCAAACAGGAUUAGAUACCCUGGUAGUCC